GAUGAACGCUAGCGACAGGCUUAACACAUGCAAGUCGAGGGGCAGCAUAGAAGUAGCAAUACUUUGGUGGCGACCGGCGCACGGGUGAGUAACGCGUAUGCAACCUACCUAUCAGAGGGGAAUAACCCGGCGAAAGUCGGACUAAUACCGCAUAAAACAGGGGCACCGCAUGGUGAUAUUUGUUAAAGAAAUUCGCUGAUAGAUGGGCAGGCGUUCCAUUAGGUAGUUGGUGAGGUAACGGCUCACCAAGCCGACGAUGGAUAGGGGAACUGAGAGGUUGGUCCCCCACACUGGUACUGAGACACGGACCAGACUCCUACGGGAGGCAGCAGUGAGGAAUAUUGGUCAAUGGGCGGGAGCCUGAACCAGCCAAGUCGCGUGAAGGAAGAAGGAUCUAUGGUUCGUAAACUUCUUUUGCAGGGGAAUAAAGUGCGGGACGUGUCCUGUUUUGUAUGUACCCUGAGAAUAAGGAUCGGCUAACUCCGUGCCAGCAGCCGCCGUAAAAC
rnacentral:rRNA from 1 species